UUUCCGUAGGUGAACCUGCGGAAGGAUCAUUACCGAGUGAGGGCCCUCUGGGUCCAACCUCCCACCCGUGUUUAUCGUACCUUGUUGCUUCGGCGGGCCCGCCUCACGGCCGCCGGGGGGCACCCGCCCCCGGGCCCGCGCCCGCCGAAGACACCAUUGAACGCUGUCUGAAGAUUGCAGUCUGAGCAUCUUAGCUAAAUCAGUUAAAACUUUCAACAACGGAUCUCUUGGCUCCG
rnacentral:misc_RNA from 1 species